GAAGCAUUUCUGGCUGGGAGGGAGGUCAGGUCGGCGUGUUCCAAGGGUCUGCCAGGAGCUGAGCACAGUCCUGAGGGACUUGUGGGCUUUUCCUGGUGGAGCUGCCCCUCCGGGACCCGGUCUUGGACCCCACCCCUCCUCAGGGCAGCCACCCCCGGAUGCUGGGUCCGGCCUCUGGGCCAUCUGGAUAGCCAUCCCUUCAUUGCUAGCGUCUCUCUGGCCAAACGAGCACCCCAGGAGGCAGAGGGAGCACAGUCAGGGCUUCAGGUUCAGUUCUCAGCUUGGCCUCAUCCUUUCCCUGGGAGAGGCCAUUUGCAGCUCGCGCCUUUGUUCCUGCAUCUGCAAGACUGCAUACUGACUCUUCUCCGCAAGGAUGCUGUGAAGCUGGAAGACUUGAAAUAAAGUCUGUGGAGGCCCUGGCAUGGACCCCGGCGCACCGAGGGAGUGUAGCUUCCCCUGGGCAUUGGGUCCGGGAGCAAGGAGCUUGGAAACGAAUGGAACAAGUUUGAAUUGCUGAGCAGGAAGACAGGGGCUGGAUAGGGGCUCCCAGACCCCGGUCAGCCCCGGGGGCCCAUCCACAGCCCCCAGGGGGUGCUAACCCAGAGACUGCACUUGUGGCCAGUGUCUCCCACCCACAUGGCUCCCUCCCUCCCUCCUGAAGAGAACCUUGUUCUGGGGGCGGAGGCCCAGGCCCAGCCGAAGGACGACAUUUUCCAGCCAUCCUCACAGCCAGAACGGCCAGGUGAAUCGUGUGGGGAAUCGUGUGGAAGAAGGUGUUAAAAGGGAUUUUUUGUCGUCGUUGUUUUCUUACAGCAUUAUUAAGGCACAAUUGACUUACAAUAAUCUGCUCACACGUAAACUGCGCAAGUUGAUAAGUUUCGACAUGUAUGUCAGGAAACCAUCACAAUCAAGAUAGCAAACAUUUCCACCAACUGCAAACACUUCCUCCUGCCUCUUUGCAAGCCGUGCAUCACUUCCCCCGUCCCCAGGCAACCCCUGAUCUGCCUUCUACCAUUACAGAUUAGCUUGUACUUUCUAGAGUUUUAUAUAAGUGGAAUCCUACAGUGUGUAUUUGCUCUCCUUUUUUUAUUUUUUAUUUUUGGCUGGGGGAGUUCUGGCUCUUUCCACUCAGCAUCAUGAUUUUAAGAUUCAUCCAUGCUGUUGGGUGUAUCAGUAGUUCAUUCCUCUUUGUUGUUGAGUCAUAUUCCACUGUAUGAAUAAGCUAUCAUUUGUUUAUCCAUUUCCCUAUUAAUGGACACUUGGGUUUUUCCACUCUUUGGCUAUGAUAAGCAGAGCUACUAUGAACAUUUGGGUCCAAGUUUGUGUGUGGACAUAUUGCUUUAACUUCUCUUGGGAAAAUACCUCCGAGUGGAAUGGCUUGAUCAUAUAGUAGGUGUAUCUCUAACUUGUUAAAACAUUGCCAAACUGUUUUCAAAGUGGCUGCACCAUUUUACAUUCCCAACAGCUGAGUAUGAAAGAUCCAGCCGUUCCACAUCCCUGCCAGCACUGGAUAUGCCAAACCUGAUUCUAGUGGAUACAGCCCCUCAUCCCAUCCCACCCCAAUCUUCCUCUCAAAUGUCCAAAGAGUGCCCAAAGGAUGUGGCUCUGCAGUGAGGAGUGGCGAGGCUGGCAUUGCCCCCAACCACCGGUCACUCCAUCUGGCUUGGGUCUGGGCAGGUCUGGGCUUCCCUCCCACCCUCUGUAGCUGGCCCAUGGGUGGCCUUUGCUCUGGGCUCUACUUCCUGACCCUGCUCGUGCUCCUUGGAUCCCACCCCCAGCCAUGGUCCCGCACUCCUGGGCCCCACUCACCUUACAAGGUGCAGUGGUGGGACUUCCCUGGUGGUGCAGUGGUUAAGAAUCCGCCUGCCAAUGCAGGGGACAUGGGUUCGAUCCCUGGUCCGGGAAGAUCCCACAUGCCACGGAGCAACUAAGCUCGUGCGCCACAACUACUGAAGCCCGCACGCCUAGAGCCCGUGUUCCGCAACAAGAGAAGCCACCGCAAUGAGAAGCCCGCGCGCUGCAAUGAAGAGUAGCUCCCAUCCGCUGCGACUAGAGAAAGCCCGUGUGCGGCAACGAGGCCCCAACGCAGCCAAAAAUAAAUAAACAAAUGAAUGAAUAAAUGAAUUUUUUUUAAAAAA